rnacentral:lncRNA from 1 species
AUCACUGGGACCCCAACAUUAAGGUUCUGUUUGACCGACCGUCCCUAGAGCAAGUGGCAAAAGACUUGGUGGUUGGUACCCGAUACUCAAAUUCGAAUCCUAGUUGAUUCAUAUUUUUAGUUAAGUUUAUUUCUGAAUGAAAUAAACGAAGCAGGUAGCGUGCUAUCUAUCUCUCUCUCAAAAAAAAAAAAAAAAGUUCUGUUUGUAAGUAUGGCUAUCUUGUUCGAUAUAUUUCCAUAAUUUACUCGAGAGAUUUAUAUAUUUGGUAGGUGAGGAGUAUGAUCAAAUGUCUACAAUUAGAUGUUUUAUUCGGCUUUCAAAUCAUUUAUUUUAAAUAAGAUAAAUCAUCUUAUAAGUAAAAUAUGCUAGCCUAUUAAAUUAUUGGUAUCAAGAACUUAAAAGGAGUAAAAAUCAAAUUCCUUUAUUACACUC